rnacentral:rRNA from 1 species
ACGGGUGAGUAACGCGUAUGCAACCUACCUAUCAGAGGGGAAUAACCCGGCGAAAGUCGGACUAAUACCGCAUAAAACAGGGGCACCGCAUGGUGAUAUUUGUUAAAGAGAUUCGCUGAUAGAUGGGCAUGCGUUCCAUUAGGUAGUUGGUGAGGUAACGGCUCACCAAGCCGACGAUGGAUAGGGGAACUGAGAGGUUGGUCCCCCCACACUGGUACUGAGACACGGACCAGACUCCUACGGGAGGCAGCAGUGAGGAAUAUUGGUCAAUGGGCGGGAGCCUGAACCAGCCAAGUCGCGUGAAGGAAGAAGGAUCUAUGGUUCGUAAACUUCUUUUGCAGGGGAAUAAAGUGCAGGACGUGUCCUGUUUUGUAUGUACCCUGAGAAUAAGGAUCGGCUAACUCCGUGCCAGCAGCCGC